rnacentral:tRNA from 1 species
GAGCAGUUAGCUCAGUGGUAGAGCACUUCGUUCACAUCGAAGGGGUCGCAGGUUCAAAUCCUGCACUGCUCA